UACGGAGGAUGCGAGCGUUAUCCGGAUUUAUUGGGUUUAAAGGGUGCGUAGGCGGAGUGUCAAGUCAGCGGUAAAAUUUCGGGGCUCAACCUCGUCGUGCCGUUGAAACUGACACCCUUGAGUGGGCGAGAAGUACGCGGAAUGCGUGGUGUAGCGGUGAAAUGCAUAGAUAUCACGCAGAACCCCGAUUGCGAAGGCAGCGUACCGGCGCCCAACUGACGCUGAAGCACGAAAGCGUGGGGAUCAAACAGG
rnacentral:rRNA from 1 species